GACGUAGGUGGCGAACGUUAUCCGGAAUUAUUGGGCGUAAAGGAUGCGUAGAUGGUGUAGUAAGUUAUCGGUGGUAAAUCGAGGCUCAACCUCGUGGAAGUCGGUAAUACUGCUAUGCUAGAGGAUAGGAGAGGUUAACGGAACUCCCUGUGGAGCGGUGAAAUGCGUAGAUAUCAGGAGGAACACCGGUGGCGAAGGCGGGUCUCUGGGCAGUAACUGACGCUGAGGAGCGAAAGCGUGGGGAGCGAACAGG
rnacentral:rRNA from 1 species